UACGAAAGGUGCGAGCGUUAAUCGGAAUUACUGGGCGUAAAGCGCGCGUAGGCGGCUUGUUAAGUCGGAUGUGAAAGCCCCGGGCUCAACCUGGGAACGGCAUCCGAUACUGGCUCGCUAGAAUGCAGUAGAGGGAGGUGGAAUUUCCGGUGUAGCGGUGAAAUGCGUAGAGAUCGGAAGGAACACCAGUGGCGAAGGCGGCCUCCUGGACUGACAUUGACGCUGAGGUGCGAAAGCGUGGGGAUCAAACAGG
rnacentral:misc_RNA from 1 species